rnacentral:rRNA from 1 species
CAGCCGCCACGGGAAUACAGAGGUCCCGAGCGUUGUUCGGAUUCACUGGGCGUAAAGGGUGUGUAGGAGGUUGGAUAAGUCAGGUGUGAAAUCCCACAGCUUAACUGUGGAACUGCAUUCGAUACUGUCUGACUAGAGGAUCGGAGGGGGAAGCGGAAUUCUUGGUGUAGCGGUGAAAUGCGUAGAUAUCAAGAGGAACACCGGUGGCGAAGGCGGCUUCCUGGACGAUUCCUGACUCUGAAACACGAAAGCCAGAGGAGCGAAUGGGAUUAGAUACCCGGGUAGUCCCUGUCUCUUAUAC